UACGAAGGGGGGCUAGCGUUGCUCGGAAUCACUGGGCGUAAAGCGCACGUAGGCGGCUUUUUAAGUCAGGGGUGAAAUCCUGGAGCUCAACUCCAGAACUGCCUUUGAUACUGAGGAGCUCGAGUCCGGGAGAGGUGAGUGGAACUGCGAGUGUAGAGGUGAAAUUCGUAGAUAUUCGCAAGAACACCAGUGGCGAAGGCGGGCUCACUGGCCCGGUACUGACGCUGAGGUGCGAAAGCGUGGGGAGCAAACAGG
rnacentral:rRNA from 1 species